rnacentral:ncRNA from 1 species
AUGCAUUGAGAUCGGAAAGAACACCAACGGCGAAAGCACUCUGCUGGGCCGACACUGACACUGAGAGACGAAAGCUAGGGCAGAAAAUGGGAUUAGAGACCCCAGUAGUCCUAGCCGUAAACGAUGGAUACUAGGUGUUGUGCGACUCGACACGUGCAGUGUUGUAGCUAACUGCUACCUCUUGAGCUUGCGCUGGUUUUUUCC